UAGAGGAAAGGAUGAUGCAUCAAUGGGAGCAGGAGGAAAGAUGAAAGAGGCGGUCACAAGGAGCUUCGAGCACAGUAAAGAUACGGUGGAGGAAGCUGCCAGGUCAGCAGCGGAGGUGGCGUGUGAUGCGACGGAAGCAGUUAAAGAAAAGGUGAAGAGGAGCUUUUCCGGCAGCGAGACGACUCAGCAGCAGUCGGAUGAGCUCUAAAUACGUCGUCUUUCUAGCUCAUGUGUUGGUUGUUCAGUUUCGGAAGAGAAUCGCAACAUCUCAUACUUGUUUGAUUUCUACGUCGACUCGCGUGUUUUUUCUCUCGAAAUACUGGAAUAUGUACACGUCACAUGAGGGAUUUCAGAUCUCAUAUUCAAAUAAGUUCUGUCCUAAACCAUUGACUCACAAAUAUCUUCUUUUUUCUUUUGUCAACAAGAGCAAAAUAUCUAUUAAGACCCAAAAUAUCCAUCUAUAAAAAAGUGUGAAUAUCAUUAUACAAAUGAGAAUUACAGUGGCCAUUGAUCGAUGUUAUUUUUCAAUUAUCUUGAUCUUGUUGAGAUGCGAAACAGCUAUACAAAUUAGCCUCGGGACGGAUCGGGUAUCCGGACAACUUUAAGGUAUCCGGAUCUUUAUCCGGUUGAUCCAUAAUUUUACUAUCCUUAUCCGGAUCCGGGGUUCUCGGAUAUCCACUGGCGGAUAUCUUUCUAAAAAUUGUAAUAUCCGGCGGAUAUCCGGAUCCAGAUUUGGAUCCUUAAAAUAAAUAAAUAAAUAAUAUUUAUAUUUAUAUUAAAAAUAAUUUAAAAAUAAAAAAAUAUAUAAUGUUUUUAAUUAUUUUUAUAUCCCUGUUGAUUUUGAUAUAGCUGCUAUUAUGAAAUUGAAUUUAGGAAUAUUGGUUGUGUGUGUUGGUGCAGCUCCGGGGAUAAGUGCGUCUCCGUCAGAGGAGAAUAUGCGAUAUUUCAAUGUUAUGAUUCUUGGUCCUACCCAGUCUCCUUAUGAAGGUACUCAAGAUUAAGUCUGCUGUGAUGAUAUCUGCUGUGUUCAUUUACCAGAACUAAUUCUUGUGUAUUAACGUUCAUUAAAAUGUUUAUUAAUUGGUAUUUUUUUUUAAAAAAAAAUUAUCCUCAAUUUGUAGGAGGAGUUUUCAAGUUGGAGCUCUUUUUGCCUGAAGAGUAUCCUAUGGCAGCUCCCAAAGUAAGUUGCUUCAACUUUUGUGAGUUUUACUCAUUUUCAUUUCAUGUUUCUGAUGUUUUGGCUGCAUUCAUUACAUUCCAUUGUAACUUUGAGUAGAAUUAGUGUAACCCAACAAUAUUGUAUGAACGCAUUGUAAAUGACUAUCAAGUUGAUUGUCUUUUACACAUUAUAAUUUUUUUUUUGUUUUAUACCGAAUGCGGUUUAUGAGAUUGGUUACUGUGGUUCGUCAUGACUACUUCAAAUGCUUUUUCACUUGUAAGAUUAGACAGCGUAUCCAAAUUUCAAUAUUGAUAUAGAGUUUGGCGGUCUUAUCAUUAUGUAACACAGGUUAGGUUUCUCACCAAGAUUUACCAUCCUAACAUUGACAAGGUUUGUUGCAAAAUUUAUACUAUUUUAUUUUCUCUUACUAUCUUUAUAUAUCCUUAUGAAACAUGUUUUGUAUGCUUUCAUUUAUGUAUAUAUAGCUUGGAAGAAUUUGCCUUGACAUAUUGAAAGACAAGUGGAGUCCUGCGCUACAAAUAAGAACUGUGCUCUUGAGGUAUAGUUGAUAUUCCAUAGAUUUACUCUCUCUAGUCUCUAAUGCAUAAUAAUAACAGUUGUUAAUAUCAAUUAUUGAAACUUUAUGGUUCUCCAAUGGUGGUUUAAAAAUCAAGUAUUCAAGCUCUUCUAAGUGCACCAAACCCAGAUGAUCCACUCUCUGAGAACAUAGCUAAGCAUUGGAAGAGUAAUGAAGCUGAAGCUGUGGAGACAGGUGAUAAACAUGAUCUUAAAACUGUCAACAAAUCUUUGUUCCUCUAUAAUCUGGUGAAUCUCAUAUCGUUGUGAACAUAUAUGCAGCUAAGGAGUGGACUCGUCUGUAUGCAAGUGGCGCUUGAUGGGGGGAGUGCAACAGGAGAAAGAUCAUUGUCAUUUAAAUAAGAUUAUAUAUGGUGAAACACUCUAUCUCAAGGUUUUAUCCAAAUCCUUCUUUUCUAAAACAUGGAAAAAAAAAGAUUUGUACUCUCUGGAUAUGUAUAACUACUAGGGAGGAUUUAAGACUAGUUUACCCAUAUUUGCAAACUAACUUUCUUCAAAUGUGCUUGCGCUUGCUGUGUUUAGAAAUAUUCUCUAAUUAUUAAAGCACUGCUAGAUGAUAAAGUUUGACAGGUUGUGAAUGAAGGCCAGUUUGGUGAAUGGUUAAAGUAGAGAGAAAUGUUACUAUUACAGAUGUAUGAGCAGGCUACCAAAAUGAAGCAGAUUAUUUUGGUCAAACGUAGAAAAAGGUGUAAAAAAUCGUCAUGAUGUGGGAUGAGAUUUCAAUUUGUUUGUUUCUUUUAAAUGGCUUUAUAUAAACUGGCCUCGUUAGUUGAUGGACGCCUCAAGUAGUAACUGAGGCUAUUGGCAAGAACCUACAAUCAAAAUGAGAUUUUGCUCAAUAAGCGGCAAAAAUAAGAUCUGAAAGAAAAUACUCACCAGCUCAACUAACACUUGCUAAGAUGGUAAACAAAGGUUAAAUACGAGUCUCGCGACUUUGGAAAUUGAAAAGAUAAAAUAUGGUUCUAUCAUACGGAUUAGAAUGGUUACGAUGGUCGUAACUCGUAAGUACCGAACCAAUUCUACAGUAAGUGGCAAGUCAUACAUGUCAAUAAUACGGUCGGGUAUAAACCGGAUUUGGGUAUAAAACGUAAUAGUAAAGUCUUACAUGAGCCCACCUCCUUUACGUUCGACCUUUCACGUCGUUUUGUGGUUCACGCGUCAGACACGUGUGGUGUCCCCACCACGUCUCACUUGCCGACUUGCCUUGGCAAACAGUAACCUUUGUAACACAUUUUGUCAACCACAAGUUUUGUUCCUUAAGUUCAACUCACCUGCAUUAUUUAAACACACAGAGAGAAAGAAACAUAGAGAACCUUAACAACGAAAAUAAACACAUGGCCGGAAAAUUAAUGACAUUACAGGUUUCUCAUCUGCUAUGCAUAUCUUUAGUCAUCUUCUUUGUAUUCUCUGUGAAUGUUGUCAGUGAGGAGGAUUACCAGAGAGUGGUGCCUCCGGAAGAUAAAACGACUACGGUUUGGUUCUCUACGAUCAAACAAUCUGGUAAUGAUUACUGGGCGAAACUCAAAGAGAGUUUAGGUCGUGGUCACGCCCGCUUUUUUCCUCCGAACAUAGAGUAAGUAGAUACUCGGUUCAAAUAGUCAGUCUUAGAGAUCAUAUAAUAUUAUACUCCAUUUGUUUCCUAUUUUUCUACCGUCUACUUUUCUUCAAAAGUGUCACUAAAACAUAAUUUAAAUUUUAUUUAUUUAAUUAUUAAUAAAAUAAUAAAAAUAUAUAACUUUGAUUAUAUGCAUAAAGUUAAAGUAUAUUGUGAAACAAUGAAAAUUCUCUAAAACAUCAUUAAAAAAAUAAUAAAACGGAGGAAGUGAAUCGUAACUGAGAAAUACGUGGUUUCUAGUCCAAGUAGCUUCUUUUUUUCAAGGCGGGUUAUUUUCUUUGCAUUUGUGUAGUUUUAGAGGAAAGGAUGAUGCAUCAAUGGGAGCAGGAGGAAAGAUGAAAGAGGCGGUCACAAGGAGCUUCGAGCACAGUAAAGAUACGGUGGAGGAAGCUG
rnacentral:lncRNA from 1 species